AAUUUAAUGCAUACAAUGUUAAUGCAUUGGAUCCCAUUAUAACUCCAUAGUUAGGCAUGCUUGGGAUAAAGUAGUACUAGGAUGGGUGAGCUCUUGGGAAUUCCUAGUGUUUUACAUGC
rnacentral:rRNA from 1 species